AAAUAUGUAUAUAUCUUUUUUGAAAAUACUACAUUUGAUGAUUUUAUUUUAUUGCAGGAGAACUUGUUGAAAAGCCAUCACCAGUAAUUCUUGCUCCUCAUGAUUUCUGUAACAUCAAAGCAAGUGUUAAAGUUGCAUCAACUGAAAAUGGCAUCAUUUUUGGUAACAUUGUAUAUGAUAUCAGCCAGUGACAGAAGUGUUGUUGUUCUGAAUGAUAUUCACAUUGAUAUUAUGGAUUACAUUAUUCCUUCUACAUGCACCGAUCAGGCAAAUGUGGGCAGAGUUUGAAUGGGAAAACAAAGUGUCUGUCAAUACUACAUUGAAUGAUCUAAAAUGCUAUCUCAUGCGCAUUUGAUUGGAUUUACAAAUAUGAGGUGUCUAACACCAGAAAAGGUAAAGUUCAUUGAUGUUUUCCAAUAGCUGUACUACAUAAGCAGU